GCCCAAUUGGCCGAGUGGUUAAGGCGUUAAAUUUAACAUUUAAUUUUAUACUAUGAAAAGGUCAAUGGUUCAAUUCCAUUAGAGCG